UACGUAGGGUGCAAGCGUUAAUCGGAAUUACUGGGCGUAAAGCGUGCGCAGGCGGUUUUGUAAGUUUGUCGUGAAAUCCCCGGGCUCAACCUGGGAAUUGCGAUGGAGACUGCAAGGCUAGAAUCUGGCAGAGGGGGGUAGAAUUCCACGUGUAGCAGUGAAAUGCGUAGAGAUGUGGAGGAACACCGAUGGCGAAGGCAGCCCCCUGGGUCAAGAUUGACGCUCAUGCACGAAAGCGUGGGGAGCAAACAGG
rnacentral:rRNA from 1 species